CUAUACAUGACUCUGCGCAUAUCAAUAAGCGGAGGAAAAGAAACUAACAAGGAUUCCCUAGUAACGGCGAGUGAGGCGGGAAGAGCUCAAAUUUGAAAUCUUCAAGGGUUUACCUUGACGAAUUGUAGUUUAAAGAGGUGUUUUCUGUUAGAGAGGUUCGGUAAAAGUUCUUUGGAAUAGGACAUCAUAGAGGGUGAGAAUCCCGUAUUUGAUCACUUUAUUUACAACUGUGUGAUACACUUUCAAAGAGUCGGAUUGUUUGGGAAUGCAGUCCAAAAUGGGUGGUAAAUUUCAUCUAAAGCUAAAUAUUGGCGAGAGACCGAUAGCGAACAAGUACCGUGAGGGAAAGAUGAAAAGAACUUUGAAAAGAGAGUUAAACAGUACGUGAAAUUGUCAAAAGGGAAGCGUUUGACACCAGUGUUGUUUUUCCGAAAAUCAAUUACGAAUGUUUUAUUUUUGAGAAGUUAUGACUUCAUCGGCUUGCUCCUUUCUUUACGAAACUUUCUUAAUGCACUUUUCGGUUAACAAGUCAACAUCAAUUUCUUUUGUUGUAAAAGGGUAUGAGGAAGGUGGCUUUCUUUUCGGAGAAAGUGUUUAUAGCCUUGUGCCUCUGCAAUCGGAGAGAUUGAGGUCUGCAGCGUAGAUCCUUCGGGGUUAGAUACGUUUGUGCUAAGUUAUAGCUUUUCAUAGACAACUUGUUGACUAUGUUUAGUCUUGUAGCUUACUCGCUGACGCUAUUUUACCUACGCUUAGGAUGUUGAUAUGCAUGACUGAUAU
rnacentral:rRNA from 1 species